CCCCAUUGAUGACGUGACUAACCAGUAGUCACAACUACCCCCGCCACGACGACAGCCCCCACGACAACACCAUUGACAGAAGCAACGACGACGACGAGGAAAACGACCUCAGGCACGACCUCCAGCGUUGUCCACUCAGACAUCGACCAACAAGUUGCAGAGUCCACCUCAGUAACGACAACACCAGGAAGGGAACCUUCAAUAAACACAGUUAAACCAACAAAAUCAGAUCCGAAAAUGCAGACAAGCAACAACACAACAUUGUAUAUCAUUGUAGGGUCUUGCACUGGAGUGGUUUUACUCGCUAUCGUGGUUCUUGUAUGUUACUGCUGCUGCUGCAAGUCGAAAAAUACAUUUUAAAUCAGCAAGGAGCACAAGGGAUCCAUUGUCUUCCUCUCUACAUGGUAUUCAGUGUCUUCAAAUUGGCAAUGCUGCACUCUUCACUUGCUUUAAUAGUCUCCUAGCUUCAAUUGUUCGCACAUGGUUACACAGUCCACAGUAACGCUGUAAUGUUCAUAUAUGAUCAUGUGACCGCAUGCCUGUAUAUUAUGUCAGUACAGCUGUAAACGCUAUUAUUGCAGAGUUUUAUUAGUUAUGAAAACAUUCAAAAUAUAUUGUGAUUAUAGGCUGUUAAGCUUCAGGGCAAGUGCCAUUGCAGAAAUUAGGACACAAAUAUAUGAACCGUCUCUGGUCUGGUGGCAGAAUGGCAAAAGUAAUACAUUCCUAUGUAAACCUUUGUAUCCAUUAAAAGUUACCACAGUAAAUGUAACUAAAAAUGUAAGAAUAGCAAAAUGAAGACAUUUCUCAUCAUUAUUUCAUGAUCUUAACAGAAUUGUACUAAUUUGAGAAAACUGAAAGAGUGAGCUCUCCAUACAUCUGUCAACUCAGCUAAGCCAGGCUUAAUUUCAUCCAAUUCUUUUGUACACUUAAUUUUUAUUUCAAUUGUUCAAUUAAUGAAGAAUUUGUUUGUUUGUACAGUCAAUAUGAUUUGAUUCUUAUGUGACACUGAUAAUAUGCAAUGUAUGAAAUGCACAUUAUAAUUGUUUCUUUUUUUUUGUUCAAAAUUAUGUAUUUUGCUUCAUUUAUUUUAGAUUAUUUUGUUAUCACUUGUCUAUUAAUUUUUGAUAGAAGCCUAUCAGGGAGAUUUCUAACAAAAACAUGAAAAUAUAAGGGGGAAAGCAGAUGGGGUCUAAGAGAAACUUGCCCUGUUAAAACAUAUUCUCUCUCUAUGAGUUUAAUUAGGGUAUUUUAUAAUAUUAAUGGACACACAAGUCAUGAUCACUUCGAUUUAACCAUGAUAGUCCAAAUCCCUGAGUUUGAUUUGCCUCUCUUGUUUUCCUUUGUGAUAAUUUAGACUGGUCAUGUCCAUAUGUGUGGAAAAAAGGCAAUAAGGCAUGAUUCCAACUGUAAAAAAAGCUUGUCCUUUUUAAAACUUGUUGAUUUUCUUUCUUUUUGGUAUAAAUAUAAUCACUGAAUUGGCAUUGGAUAUGUUAUUGCAUUCACAGAAAGAAAAGAAAUUGUUAUUAUUUCAUUUCAUUACUUUAUAUGCUUGUAUUUCUUUUACGUUUCUUUUCAUUUAUCGCAGAGUAAAUCACCAAAUGGAUACUCCAAGCCAAAUCCUAACACACCAGUAUAAUCUACUCUGUUCCUUCCUACAUUUUUUUUUUUUUACUGAGAAGGUAUUUGCGUGCAGUCUUGUCAAAGCAUCUCAUAAGUGUUUUUUUGAAGAAAAAAAGGACUUUGUUCUGGAAAAAUGACAUGCAGGGUACAUACAUGUGUAGGCCAUUUUCGUAAUGUAACCAAGUUUAAUGCAAAAAUCAUUGUAAAGUGCAUAGAACAUAUUUUGUUUAUUCACCUGUUUACGAAUGAUUGCAUUGGACAGGUCAGAAUGCAGAUUGCAUAUAUUACGUGUUGCUAGGUAGGGCAAGUCAUAAUGUUUGUCUUACCUAGCAACAACUAAUGUAUACAAUAUGCUUUCUAUUAAAAAAACAUUUGUAACUGGUAAAUGAAAGGAUAUGUAAUGAGGCACUUGACAAAGAAGUAUCCAUUAUAUUUGAUUACAUUCCAAAAAACAACUUAUAAUUCCAACCCAUUGCUGUGAAGAUAAAUGGUGUGCAAGUCCUCGUCUUUUGUAUGGAAAAUUGUGGUUUUUGUACCGUGUUGGCUUUUUCACGUUUUUUGAAGAAAAUGGAAAAUUGAAGAAGAAGUUACUCUGGAAAAUACCAAACCAUGAAAAGUGUAUACCGCCCUCUUUAGCUUCAUAAUAUGUAGUCAGUGAAAGAUGUAUACCGCCCUCUUUAGCGUCAUGAUAUGUUGUCAGUGCCAAUGAGUAGGAGACUUGAACAACCCGGUUCAAUUUGACCACAAUACGGCGAUUACUGCUUUGUUGAGCGAGUACAUUACAAUAGAAUAUGAUGUGACCAACUGAAACCAAGUUUGCCAAACUCUGUGAACAUAUUGCUCUGAAUGAAGUUAACAUAAUCAGUAUCAAAUUACUAACGGUUUAAGCACGGCUCCUACGUCUUUAUUUUCUCUCUUUUACCCCACUCAAUAUGGCCAAAAAAAAUAGUACCAUAAGCAGUUUUGUACAAUUAUGUAAAUCCUUUCGUAACUUCUUGUUUCCAUAAAAAGUAGGAUAUUUAAAUUGUGCAAAAGUCAAUUAUUCAGUAUUAGCAAUCCUUAUCUCGAAUGUUGGUGGUGUUUUUCACCUUUAAUACCUUUUUUUAUGAGAGGAUUCACUUGAUAACAACAUAAUGGGAAGAGCGUUGAAUGUAGUAAUGGAAUGAAAUAUUGACAUAAAUAUCUUUGCAUGAUGAUACUGUAUAAUGUUGCAUAAGGUGUUUAGAUAUUCUUGGAGUUUAGAAAGAUAUAAGAAUAAUGACAUAUUUAACCCCGUAGUCUGCAGACCAAUACAUUUUAUAGGUACAUGCUGGUUUACAUAAUUUGUUUUUAAAAGGGCUUUUUGUAUACGAUAUGAUCAUGUACAUACAGGUGAUCUUUUGUAUGAGAUAUCGUUCAGUCAAGAAAGCUAAUUGAAUAUGUAAGAUAAAUAAAGUGUAAACAGCACAAACAUUUGCUUAGCAAUACAAAAAAGUAUGCUUUCCCCACCACAUGACUAUAUGUUAAAGUCAUAUGGCCAAAUGAAAAAUAGGUGCAGAGUUACAGACCUCAAAAAUAAUUAUAUAACUGCAAUUAAAUGCAGUUACUAAAAAGUUAUCCAUGUUUUUUUUUGUAUUUGUACAUAGUUAUAUGAAAACAUGGCAAGCUGAAAACAAGCUAUUGCUGUUUGUUAUGCACAAUGAAAAGUUAUCUUUACAAGUGUAUAUAUUGCUUUAAUAGGUACAUGAACAUGUAUUAAUGUAUAUAAAUCUGUUCAAAGCUGAUAUUGUAUGCACAUUCUAAUUGGUUAAUGACAUUGUUUUCUUGUUAUUUGUACAGUGAAUCUAUCAUUUUCUUCGAUAACUACUUUGCUAUGGUGUGUUUCUAUGAUUACUACGGCUACUAUUUUGUUUAGCAUUCCUAUUACCUAGAUUUUUAAGAGAACUUUUGUUUAUAUGUUUAUUUAUGUUAAAGAUAGUACUAUUGAAAUGCGCAGAGCAUAGUUGUGUAAAUGUCUUGACAUUUUUCACAUUAAAAAGUAGUACCGUAAGUCUGAUUUUAGAGAAUUUUAUAAUUUCAGAUACUUAAUCACACCAGUUACUUUGAUACCAUACAUGGAAAACAAAUGGAUACUUCAUGUUUAUAUAUAUGAGACUAUUAUGAGCCAUUAAGAAAUGAAUGGUAUCGAUUCAAAUCGUACAGUUGAUUUAUAAUGGUAGAAUAGUAUUCCAAUCUUAAUUGGGGGAAGAAAAUCACUGUUGAAGUAGGAAAUAGUAAAGUACGGUACCUGUAGGUUGAAUAACAUGCAUUUUUAUCGGUAUGACCAUUUUUAGUCCGUAUUGGUUUCUUGGAGCUAGUCAGAACACACUAGAUUAUCAUGUUUUAAAAUAAUAUAUGCAUGUAAUUGACAACUUUAAGAACUUUUUGGUAUAUACUCUUUGUACAUUGGUAGUCACGAGACGUUUUUAUACAAAUACAUUUUGACAUAUUGAAGUAUAUAAUGUUUAUUUAGAUCUAAACUAUUUAGAAAUGCAUUGACAAGUUGACAAAAUAGAAUUUGUGCUUCAUGUUUUUUCAAUUGUUUUUAAAAGAAGUAAUCCUUACUCGGCAGGUUUAGGAAUAAGAAAUAAAGAUGAAACUUUACCUGUUCAUUUUUGUUUUAAAACCAUGUGACUGUAUUUGCCAUAUAUUCUUUAAGAGGCCAUUCGUUUUUGUUGUUGGUUCUGUAGAUUAUGGUUUCUGGAAAAUGAGAAAAUAAACAAGUCACAUUUCUCAGAAAAAUAUUUAAAACUGCAAUUCAAAUUGAACUUGGAAAGUGGAAGGUAUCUAAUGAUUUAGUUAUCAAACUUGCCAAAUUUAUACUUUAUUUACUUCUGAUAUGUGUUGUAAAUGUUCCUCCUAAUCAUAAGUAUCUAAAGCUAAGGACUAAUUAAUCUAAUGUGUUAAUAUUGCAAGAGGUCUACAUAAUUUGAAUAUGGACGAAGUGUAGUGAUGUUCAAUAAAUUUAAGUGGUAUGACAAUUAUCAUCUGAAUUCUUUUAUGGGGUUUUUAGUUUUCAUUUUGCCAUCACGCUAAUCAGUCCUGUAGUAUAUUACGUUUCGAAUUUGUACUAUGUGAUAUUGCGUUCGUUUAUCGAAGUACAUCAAACGAAUAUAUUUUUUCUAACAUUGUUUCGUUUAAACUUUUGCGUUUCUACAUCGUUAUUUAGUUUACAAGGUUAAUUUAAACGGCUGAUUUGUUCAUUUAACUUGCAGAUACAUUCAUUACCUAAAAAGGCAGAAUUUUGAAAGUUCGAUUCAAUAUUUUUGUCAGGGUUUUGAUAAGGAUACACAAAAACAGUCUCUCUAUUUCAAAACCACUAUUAUAUUUCUUUUCUUUUUGCUAGAAAGAACAUUGUAUUCUAAGAAAACAUUCUAUUGUAGUUGCAAUACAAGCUAGAGGGUAAAAGCAGGGUAGUCUACUGACAUUACUCUACGUUUACAUAUACUGCCACCUGCUGCUCACAAGGACACGAUGUGUCGACAGCCAUGUCCAACAAUGCAUCACCAAUGGAUGACGCGCUAGAAACAGGCAAUCGCUCUAUGUACGCCUUCACCGAAAGAUGGCGCAAUUGGAAAUAGAUUACUGCAGUGUAGUGGUAGCGAUGUCGGUUAAAAUACUCUGCCUUUAAAAGAAAAUAUACAACUUCACCGAUGCAUGACCAUUUGAUUAGUAGUGUAACCUUCCUUUCCUAAAAUCUUGAAAAACUUGUGUUAGGUUGUAUGUGUUAAUGAGUUACUGCUCUUGAAGUAUUUUGAAGAUAUUUUUAAAAAUAUUAUUGUUUAACAAAGUUUGUUACUUUAGACUUGUUUUUAAGUUCUAGGAUGUUGAAGUUUGUAUAGUUACAUUGUAUGUAUGAAUGACGGAUACGUAUACAAUUCUACGUGAAAUAUACUAAUUUAAAAUCGUUUUUUCAUUUUUUUAAAACAAAGAUCAUGUGACGAAUUUGAUCUUUAAUGCAAACUAUCAUUCAAGGCUGAUUAUACUCGUGGAAUUGUCGCAUGAUUGUAUUGUUUGUAUGUCAUUUGACUUUUAUAUCUAUGAUUAUUAAGAUUGGUGCUGUAAAUCAUGGAAAUUAAGCGUGCUUGAUUAAACUAUUGUAUAUUGUGCUACUGUUCAUGAAAA